UGCUCCCUUGUUUACCUAUUGUGUGAUGCUGCGCUCGCGGCGCUUGUGGAGCUCGCCACGCGCUCGCGCUUGACGCCGGUACCGGCUGUUUGUUACAUCCCCUUCUCUUUGUCUGGCACUGUUUUCGUCAGUGAGAUUUGAGUGUUUAGGUUGUACUUGAACGGGUUUUCCCAAGCUUGCAUUGCUCAGACUGUGAAGAAUAAUAGAAGACACUGCAGUAGGUGCGUGGAUAAAAGGUGAAGACACAAUGCUUUUGACCAGAGGCUGCUGUUUCAAGGAUUGUCAAAAGCGCUGGAGAAGUGACAAAGCUGUACAAGAACUUCUCAAGGAGCAGCCUGAAUACGUUUGAGAGGAAGCAGGGUGAAUGUUGAUGCUAUGAGACCUGCAGUAUGGAUCACUAAGUAGCUUCAUGUGAAAUCUGAAAGCAAAUGCAAGCUCAUGUGUGACUUUUGGAACUGCCACCCUGGACUCAGCAAUGCCACGUCUUGGCAGACACUAAUAUGAUGCAGAUGGUGAAGGACAGAAAAUUUUCCUUGGAUAGAACAUCUGGCUUCUUCAUCAUCUCCACAAGCUGGUGGCUUCCAAGCAGUCUGACCCAAGGGUAAACCUGAAGUGGCUGUCUCUGAAACUUGCCUUGACCUAGACCAUCCAUCUGCUUUUUGAAUGAGGAUUUCAGAGUCUUUAAAGACCAUUUUCCUAUGGUGAAAAUCAAGAGAGAGUUCUGCUUCCAGCAAAUAUUUUGGAUAUGAGCUUCUGUAUUUCUACAGAGAUGUAAAUGAUCUCACUGGAUGCUGCGUGUUUAUGAAGACAUCUUAAGACAUCCUUUGCCAAAACCCUUAGGGAGAACCUCAGAGCAAAGUCUGUUUAACAAUAAUACGAUGACUUGCAAGAAAUGAAGCAUCUUGAGUAACUUGAGGUUGGGAGAGAAUGGACCUGUGCUUUUCUGGGCGAUGCGGUGCACUGGAGCAGAAGACAGCUUGCUCUUGUCACUGCUGCGAUAUUUGCGGUGUUCUGCAG